UUCCCAAGGUGUCAUGGCUCUUGUCUGCUACUUGUUUCUGCUUCAGGUCCCUGUUUUGCAGUUUUGCUCCAAGUUGAAUUCGUGGAAGUUGGCUUUGUGUUUUGAUAAUUGGGUAUGCGUUGGAAUUUUAGAUUGAGGAUAUAUUGAUCCAAUUGUGUUAAGGUUGUCAUGUUGUGUGGAUUGAGACCCUUUGCUUUUUUUUUUUUUGGGUCCUUUUGUCUGUUGCAUAAAUAGCAGUUUAG
rnacentral:lncRNA from 1 species